UUUUAAAAUGUUCUAAAAUAAACAUAUAUAUACAUAUAUAUGUGUAUAUAUAUAUAUACACAUAUAUAUGUGUAUAUAUAUAUAUAUAUAUAUAUAUAUCACAUAUGUCUUUAUAAGUAAAAAAUAAUUGAAUAGACUAUUUCAUCAAGCAAAAGGAAUUCUGGUUUGUAUAUCCUGAGUCUAUGUCUCUCAUUAGGUUUCAGGCAUUCAGUAUAAACUAAGAGUUUGUGUCUUAAGCUAUCAAUAAGCUAUUUUCCAAAUCUAGACAAAAAUGGAACCCAGGGCCAUCACUGGGAAAAGAUACAGUUCAAAUGUCCUUAACAAAUCGCCUUGUCACCUUUGUGAGCUCCCAUUGCAGAAUCAAUUCAGCUAUAUUAUCGCCUAAUACCGGUUCCUAUACAUCAAAGACCUAAAGCAGAACACAGCUUAAGCUGCAGAGACUGACUCCCCACUCCUGCUGCCCUAGGUGAAGGAUGUAAAUGGGUGUGCCUCUUGAAUUAAGAUGGAAAGCUGGCUUUAAACCACUUGGACUGAGCCAGCUUGCAGCAAACUAUGGGGGAACUGAAGAAUCAACAUGGAAGUCACUUUCAAACAUGCAGAAAUGGAUCCCACCAAUGAAAUGCAAAACAGUGGAAGGUAUUAUCUCUUGACUUUGGCAAUGGAUGUGUUGGGGAAAGGGCUCAGGCAGUGCCAGGAGCAUCAAACGGUGAAGACUAGAACCCCACAGGUGGAGGAACUGGCAGCAUAUGGAGAGGUGUGCUUGGGCCAGGUGUGGCCAGACAUAUCAAGUCCUGCAGUUGCUGUGAUCCUGCAGAGAGCUCACUCUCCAAGGGCUCAGGCUGAGCUGUCCUCCAGGUCUGGGCUUAGUAGAGAACUUGAGAGUGUCCAGGACCCAAGCACCCUCUAUUUUGCUGCUCCACCAUCUUGAGGAUGCUACACUGCAUGGUCCGAGAAGGCUCAGCACUGUGUCUACAUUCUAGUCACUAAGAGAAGGGAAGGAAGGGAGGAAGGAUAUAUAUAUAUCCCAUUCCUGUAAGUAGUAUGUAUAACAUUGCUAGCAUCUCACUGACCAGAAGUAUCACCGCAUCUCAUGGCAAAGGAGGUUAGGAAAUGUGAAAUCUUUUAAAUCUACAUAUAGCCAUGUGUCUAAUUAAAAAUUAUAUUACUAUGGAAGAAGGGAGGUAUGGAUAUUAGGAGAUAACUUGAAGACUCUGCCACAGUCAGUACCUUUAGAACAAUUCUCUUGGGCUAGUGAAAUCCCACAGAAAAGAUUCUUCCUAAAUCUUGACUAGAAAAUUAUAAGCCUAGUUGUCAGAGUUCUAGGCAUUGAAUGAGACGAAAAAUUGGGAUGGGCUAGUGCUUGUAGUGGUGACUGGGUCUCAUGAUAUAAUGUGUAAAGUUUUAUUCACUCAUGCCACACAUUAUCUCAUCCAAAGACCAGCUCUCCAGAAGCAAUCUAGAUUUUGGCUCAGGGUUUGGAGGUUAGCUGACUGGGUUCUUGAACAGUAAAUUGUUUUUCUGCAUGAGUGAGAAGGGCUGCAAAUCUAAUUUUCAACUAAUCUUUGUGUUUUCAGUCCCCUUUUCACUGCUAGUUCCAGAGAUAGUUGUCUACAGCUUCUUAGUAUAAUAGAAAUUGGGCUGCUUCUCAGAUUUCCUCACUCUUAACUUAGGAUUAAGCUUUCUCAAGUCCCCUAAGUCAUUAACCACUUAUUCAUCUGCUCUACAGCUUCUAAAAUUUUGUUUUUAUUGACUUCUCACCCAUGUUCUCUGUCUGAUAGGUUUAAACUUAAAAAAAAUUGCUUACUUUUCUUAGUGGGAAGAAACAGAAAUAACUGGAGAGAGUCAACCCAUCAUCUUUAACCUAAAAUAUAAAUUGUUCUUUACAGCCAUUUAUUUUAAUACCUCACUACUUUUAUUCUCAGAACAUCUAUUAACAUUUCCCAUGGAAAAUAAAAGACUGAUGAGAUGAUGAUGGUGAUAUGAA
ensembl:lncRNA